rnacentral:rRNA from 1 species
UACGUAGGGGGCGAGCGUUAUCCGGAAUUAUUGGGCGUAAAGAGUGCGUAGGUGGUCUUGUAAGCGUGGGGUAAAAGGCUAUGGCUCAACCAUAGUAAGCCUUGCGAACUGUGAGACUUGAGUGCAGGAGAGGAAAGUGGAAUUCCUAGUGUAGCGGUGAAAUGCGUAGAUAUUAGGAGGAACACCAGUGGCGAAGGCGACUUUCUGGACUGUAACUGACACUGAGGCACGAAAGCGUGGGUAGCAAACAGGAUUAGAUACCC